AACUCCCUUCUCAAAUUUUUCUCCAAAUAAGUAUGUAAGCUGGAAUCCCAGGCGUUCAGAUUUCCUUGUGAACUCAUCAACAAAGGAUAUGAAGUACUUACUGCCACCUAAUGAUGCUACUUCAAAAGGACCACAUACAUCAGAAUGUAGUACUUCCAAAGCUGCACAUGAUCUCUUGCAGGUCUCCUUCACAAAUGGUAACCUACUCUGCUUACCCUUCAUGCAUAUAUCACAUAAUGCAUGCUUGGCAUUUAUCUUAGGUAUACCAUACACUAGUUCUUGUGAAUUCAAAUCACUUAGAUUUCUGAAAUUCAAAUGACCAUACCUCUUGUGCCAUAGACCUUCAACUUAUUCUUUGCAGAUUGACACAUGAUCACAAGAUUCUUCAUCUUAACAAAUUUUUUAUUCCUUUUUCAACAUUUUUAAGAGUAUUUUUUAACUUUCUUACUAUUAUUAUUAUUAUUAUUAUUAUUAUUAUCUUUUUUCGAUUUUAAUUCAAUUGUUUGAGAAAUUUGAUGUUAUAUUGUUUAGAUCAUUUUCCAUAUUUGUUAUUAUUAACAUAAUUAUUAUUUUCCACACAACACCUCUCUUUUUUUGUUACAAAAAAUGGCAUAGACCAGAAUACGUUUCUAUAUGAUACAUUUUAUUUAUUUAAAAAAUAUGAAUAUCAAUAUUCUUUUAUUUAACAAAUUAAAUAUUUAAUCAAACCCGUGUAAUUUAUAAUCCAAGGAAUAAAAAGUUUCUAAGCAUGAUUUAUGAAAACUUAAAACAAACAUAAGAAUUAAAGAUUUCCAAGAUCCCAUUUGGAAUGAAUUUGCUAUCCAUGAAAACAAACACCCCCAAAGGUAAUGAUAUUGUGCUUGGUUCAUACAUCCCAAACCUAACAUGGAACUACAGCUAUUGAAAUUUUUGAGCAAAUCAGGUUAUAUAUGAAUUUACUCUAACCAGUAAGCAUAACAUUCGCAAACAUAAACCACAUAAUUUAUCAUAAGCAUCGCAUUGGAGUACAUCAGAGAGUAUUCAUUCAAACAAAGCUAAAAUAAAAUCCUAAGUUACACAACAUCAGUUGACAAGGCAGUAUUCAUUCAAACAAAGCUGAAAUAAAAUCCUAAGUUACACAACAUCAGUUGACAAGGCAGUAAGUAGUCCAUGUUACUCUGCAACUUUCUUCUUCUUAGGCAUUCUGUAACCACCAACAACACAAGCAUGGUCCCUCUCAAAUGGUUCAAGAGUCACUUGCUCCAUUGGCUUAAAUUGAUCUGCCUUCAACUUGUUCACUUCACUUUCGAAGACUGCAUCAGCAGGGGCUGUAGAAUCAAUACAAUUGGCCUACAAUAACAAUAAAAUUGAAUGAGCUAGAUAAUCAAGAUAGAAAUAAUGCAUAGAAAAGUUAUAAUAAAAAAAGAAGUUUUAAGUGAAUCCUAUAAAAAACUUUGAAAAACAAGAAACCAAGUAGGUUUCUGAACAAACCUUGAUAGAAAUAACAAAAUGACCUCCAGCUUUGAGAUAAUAUGAAGCAUUCAAACCUAGAAUUCUUGCCUGCAACAAUCACAAAAAUAGUAUAAACCAAAUUGAUACUCUGAAUAUAUGGAGUUCCAUCUAACUAUUAUUUGGUCAAAAGAGUGUAUUUUAAGCUUUUUUCUUCAAAUGAAGUUCAUCUAUUUACUAAUACAAAACAAACAAAUGAAUAACCAGAAUGCAGACCAAACAUCAAAACAGUGCAUCUAGACAUCAGAGGACGAAGGAGGCUUCACCCCCAUCCUUUGCCUUAUAUCUCUUUAUUAAAAGNNNNNNNNNNNNNNNNNNNNNNNNNNNGGGGGGGGGAUAUAAAUACAAAAAUGGCAGGAUAUAGACCUAACCUAGUAAGUCCACAUAAAAAUAUAUACAACAUUGCAACAGCACAAUUGUUUAAAAUAACAAAACAAAAAAAUUGACGAGCAUGAGAAAAAGCACAAUUGUUGUGCAUCAGAAUCUCAGGUCUACAUCACCCAAGAAGUCUUGAAGGGGAAUCCGAGUAACUCAUCAAUUGCACCGAUAUAUAGUAUCCAAAACACAUUUUACUAUGAAAUGCAAAUUAAUUAUAAAAUUGGAAAUGGAAUACAAAAUUUGAGAAAAAAACAAUAUAGACAAAGAAAAAAAAAACAAAAUAUCAAUGUGCAUCAGAAUCUCGGGUCUACAUCAUUCAAAAAAUCUUGAAGGGGAAUCCAAGUAGCUCAUCACAUGCACUGAUACACAGCAGAGUAUAUGGUACCCAAAACAUUUUUACUUCAAAAUAAAAUUUGGGAGACCAAGUAACACCACAGCAAAAGAGAAAUAUAAAACUCAACUUGAGAAUGCUUAAAAUAAAAAUCAGUGUCGACAUCCAUAAAAACAAGUACUUAGGGAGUCAGUAUUCCAAAAAAUUUACAACGGUAGGCACUCUGAAUUAGUGAACAUAUUAUAACGGUAACAUAAUAGAGUUCAAUGUUUACGAAUUUAGGACAUUGAGAAAAAAUCAAACCAGAACCUGAUCAGGCUGAGCAACGUCAGAAAAUAUGACAUCUACCAUGCUAACCAACAUUCUGUACUUGGCUGGAUGUCUAGCAUCUUCAAUAAUAGGAAUAACAUUGGUACGCUUCUUUGCCAUAUUGACCAAAUCACGGCCACUACGAUGGGAGAACUCUACUGCAUAGACAAUUCCAGUCUACAUAAACAGAACAUAAUAUUCUAAUCAGCCUUAGUCACACAACAUAGGUUAAUAAAUAAAUAAAUAAAUAAAUAAAAAUCAAAUUUGAACUCAUACUUACCGGACCAACAAUAUCAGACACAUGAGAGACAGAUGUUCCUGAAGCAGCUCCUAGGUAAAGAACUUUAGCGCCAGGUUUCUGUAUAAAACAACAAAAAUUGGUGUCAAUAAAUUGUAUUUGGAAGAGAAUGUCAAGUAAUAAAUGAUUAUGUCACAAGAAAAUAAAGUUUCUUACAAUCCAUAUGUUGUCAACCCCAGCAAGGACAGCAACAGCCAACUUAGAACGGAAAGGAUUCCAAAUUCUAUACUCAACCUUUGUACCAUCCUCAUUCUGCAUAAUUUUUGUCACAAAAUUGUCAUCAUGUUAUUAAUGUAAAAUAAAAUUAACAAUUAAUUAAUGAUUGAUUACAACUUAAUAAUAAUGAAUCAGACUAGCACAAAAACAUACAUUCAUAGUUAAUUUACAAACAUGCAUAUAUGUAAAUUUAACUCAAUCAACAAACAUCAUUAAAAUAACAAAAUGAAUACAAAGCAUAAACAGUUAAAGGUGAGAAUGAAAUUACCUGAACAGUAAGCCUCUUCUCGUUGUAAACAGUUUCUCCAGGAACAAGAUUCUUAGUAAGAAGAAUAUCGUCCUUACCCUUAGCAAAGAAAAUACCAUCAUGUCUAUGAGGCACGACAAUAACCUUGUUACCUCCCUUCAUUCCACCUCCUCUACCACCACCACCACCACGGCCUCCGCGACCUCCUCUNNNNNNNNNNNNNNNNNNNNNNNNNNNNNNNNNNNNNNNNNNNNNNNCCUCUGCGACCUCCUCUACCUCUAUCACCUCCUCUGCCUCCACCUCUAGCCUUAAAAGGGGUACCUCUAUCACCACCUCUUCCACCGCCUCUUCCCCCACCAAAACUUCUACCUCCUCUGUCUCCACCUCUUCCACCUCUGAACCCACCACGACCUACACAAAUUCAAAACACCAAAAUCAAUAAAAAUCAAACUACAUAGUUCAUAAAAACAAGACAAAUCCUUCGUUUGAGUAAAUUAGCAUAAAUCAAUUUGAUUUUAACAAACAAAAGCAUCAUCAGCGAACUCGAUUUGCGAUAUUUCAAUUGAAUAAAUCAAAACUCAUAUGAUAAAUAAUAAUUAAAAUGGUGCCAAAAGGUUUACCUCUAGUAGGAGGACCCAUUUUAGAGAAACUGCGAAGAGAUUUGUUAGAGCGGCUAAGAGGGUUUCUCAGAGCGGCGAAGUUUUAUAUUAUUAUUAUAGGUGAAAAUUUAGGGUUUAUAAAACUAGGGUUUUGAUUUUCGAAACAUGAGAGAAAAAGCCCAGUAGCUAAUUGAUGACCCGAUAUGUUCAGUUUUCGGCUUCUGUAUUACAUCACUGUAAUGUAAUUAGGGCUAGGGGUAUACGUGGGCUGGAUUGGGUUGGGUUUGACCAAAACCAAAACCCGAACCACAUAGUAUACUCUGGUUUGGGUCGAGGAAAAUAACCACCCGUUAUAACAUUGGGCCGGGUUGGUUAAAUCCACUAAUUUUCGGGUUGGAUUGGGUUGGGUAGUGGGUUACCCAAAUUAUUUUUCUAUUUUUUUAUAUUAAAUAUUUAAAUGUCGAAUCAUCAUAUUUUUUCAUAAAAAUAACCGAACCAUAUUAUUUUCUUGAAAAAUAGUGUAACUUUUUUCACUAUAAAAAAUAAUCACAUAUUUUUCGUGUAAACCCACUAAUUUACGGGUUAGAUAGUUAUAGUUUGCUACCCAAAUAAUUUUUUUUGCUUUUUUUAAUAUCAAAUGACUAAUUGAUGAAUUAUAAUAUAUAUUCAUGAAAAUUAUUCAAGUUUUUCUUUUUAUUUUUUAAAUAGUGCGAUAAAUUAUCAUAUUUGUUUAUAAAAAUUAUUCAAUCUUUCUAUUUUCUUAAAAAAUAGUAUAACUUAUUUUCAAUAUAAAAAAAAUUAAUGAUCAAAUGGAAAAAUCUUUAGUAUUUUCAUAAAAAAUAUUUCAAAAAACAUAGCACUAGUGGGUAAGUGGGUNNNNNNNNNNNNNNNNNNNNNNNNNNNNNNNNNNNNNNNNNNNNNNNNNNNNNNNNNNNNNNNNNNNNNNNNNNNNNNNNNNNNNNNNNNNNNNNNNNNNNNNNNNNNNNNNNNNNNNNNNNNNCUAGUGGGUAAGUGGGUUUUUUGGGUUGGGUCCGGUUUUACCCAUAACCCAACUUUUUUUAUGGGUUUUUCAUUUUUGAAAUUCAUACUCACCCACUUGCCCGCCCCAACCCACUUUUUUGGGUUGGAUUGAGUGGGUUUGACCAGGUCAACCGGAUUUGCCCGACCCAUGUACACCCCUAAUUAGGGCAUUAUUUUAAUUUUUAACUUUAUACCCCCCAUAUAUAAUUCGUCACCAAAACACAUGAACCAAUUUGAAUUCAUGGAGCAAGAGCCUUAAUGAAAAGUAGAAAAGAGAUUAUUGCUUUGUUUGCUUAAAAAAUAGCCAAUAGUUGAUAAGUUAACUUAUAACAAAUAUGAGUAGCUUAUAAGUUACAUAUAUUCUGCAAAUCAGCUGAGUCUGGGUUCAAUUCCCAGCUGUGGCACUUUUUAGUUUGACAAUUUUUUUUUUAUUUUUUGUUUGGCAACUUCAAAACUAUCAAUUUUUUUUAGAUCCUCAAAACACUAUCAAUUUUGUUAUUUAUUUUAUUUGUUGUGUAAAUGUUAAUUUUAUUUAUUAAUUAUCUCUUAAUCUUUUAUUUAUCAUUUCAAUUUCAAUGUUGCGGAAUAUGACUUUUUUUUUUUAUGUUAGUUACACAUAUAAAUAACUAUUUUUGAUGUUGUUAAAAUUAUUUACAAUUUUAAGAAAUGAUUUUUUUUUAUAAAAAAAAAAUUGNNNNNNNNNNNNNNNNNNNNNNNNNNNNNNNNNNNNNNNNNNNNNNNUUUUUAUUAUUUGCCCUGGACCUCCAAAAUCUCGGAGCCGGCCCUGCCCAUGUGGAUAAUAAGUGUGGUGGCCAAUUCACUUGUAUAGUUGCCCUUAAGUCCAAUGUGGAUGAUUCCCCGACUGCCCCUUCGUGACCCAUCAGUGGGAUCAGAGUCGAUGCUUCGACGAAGGGUUCAACCGAUUCCUUGUACCGAAAGUCUUCUUGACCAAGGUGGUCAGGCGGCAUGUCCCGUUGAGUGCGGCCAACAACAAUGCAAGUGUAUGAAUGAAAAAGAAAGCUUCUGCUUGAGGGAGAUCAUAAUGAAUUUAAUGACUUGACGGGAAGAUUGUUGUGUCAAGUGUGAUGUAUUUAAGUCUCACAUUACUUAGAUAAUUGGAGAUUGAACAAUUUAUAAGGGAUAUGACCCAUAAAUAAACCUAAUGCCUUUAAGGUUUUGGGUAAAAAUGUAAUGGCAAACUCAUUUGUAUGGUUUCUCUCUUAGACAUAUGUAAAUGAUCCCUUUGACUGCCCCCUCGUGACCCAACAUGAACAUCAAAGGUUUCACCUAUCGAUCCCUCAGUUUGAUGUUCUAAGAUUUAUAUAUAAACACAAUAUGAUAUGAAUAAGAUUUGUUAAGAAAUUUCAUCAGACAAAGCAUUAGAGAUUGGACUAUAAAAAAAUCUAUUCUUGGGUUACUUUCCAUAAUCCUAAGAUGAAGAGAACUAAUUACAAAUGAACAUGGUUUUUUUAUAAUAGUUUCAUGACUUUUUUGACAGCGUCCAAACUUAAUUUUCAUAUUGAAUUAUUUCUGCUAUCACAACAUUAAGAGGUGUUCUUCACAAUCACAACCACAAAUUGAGUCUUGGAUUUCAAGACACCAUAAUAUGGCAUCAAAUUCACUAUUUUCUUCAAAUUUCCUUGAUUUAUUCUUAAUUAUAAUUAACCAAAAUAAAAUAAAACAAAUGAAAAAUUCUAACAAACUUUAAUAUAAAUUUGAUUUAUUUAAUAUAAAUAUUACUAAAUAUCUUACAUAUUUGCAUGUUUAAUUUUUUCCAUAAACAAACUUAAUCUAUUAUACUAUUAAAUGAUAUAUAUAUAUAUAUAUAUAUAGAGUCAGGAUCCGUUGACACCAACUAGUUUGACACCAAAUGUUACACCUCNNNNNNNNNNNNNNNNNNNNNNNNNNNNNNNNNNNNNNNNNNNNNNNNNNNNNNNNNNNNNNNNNNNNNNNNNNNNNNNNNNNNNNNNNNNNNNNNNNNNNNNNNNNNNNNNGGUUCUGAUUUUUGGAUUAAAAUCACCCUUAUUCAGGACCAGCUAGAGGAGUAUCCCACCAACUGAGAAGACAUUUACAUUUUUUAUAAAGGCAUUUUGGAACAUAAGGUGGUGCACAAAAAUAGUCAUGGUGUACAUGGAGGAUUAAUUGGAGAAAACACCAAGCAUAUUAGAGGAGUCGUUUAAUUCACGAAUUUCAAUUAGGGGAGAUGGCCAAGGAGCCAAAUCUAUCUAUUAUUUGUUUUAUUUUUUAAUAUAAUUUCGUUGUUUUAUAUUUUAAGUAUUAUAUGUAAAAUUUGAUUGGUAAUAACACGAU
rnacentral:lncRNA from 1 species